rnacentral:rRNA from 1 species
GGCCACAGCCAUAUCACCCUGCAGCCCAAGACUGGUUGCCCACUGAAGCUAAGCAAGGUUGAGCCUGGUCAGUACCUGGAUGGGCGACCUCUUUGGAAAACUAGGUUGCUGUUGGAA